AUCCAACACCGCGGGAGCUCACCCAAGUGAGCUGAGAGGACGGCUCGGGGGCCGUCGACCGUAUGAACCUGACCGGGUAAUGCCGGCGUAGGGAGAAGGAAUGACCGUCAC
rnacentral:ncRNA from 1 species